rnacentral:rRNA from 1 species
CCUACGGUGGCAGCAGUGGGGAAUAUUGGACAAUGGGCGAAAGCCUGAUCCAGCCAUGCCGCGUGUGUGAAGAAGGCCUUCGGGUUGUAAAGCACUUUCAGUGGGGAAGAAAGCCUUGGGGCUAAUACCCUCGAGGAAGGACAUCACCCACAGAAGAAGCACCGGCUAACUCCGUGCCAGCAGCCGCGGUAAUACGGAGGGUGCGAGCGUUAAUCGGAAUUACUGGGCGUAAAGCGCGCGUAGGCGGUCUGAUAAGCCGGUUGUGAAAGCCCCGGGCUCAACCUGGGAACGGCAUCCGGAACUGUCAGGCUAGAGUGCAGGAGAGGAAGGUAGAAUUCCCGGUGUAGCGGUGAAAUGCGUAGAGAUCGGGAGGAAUACCAGUGGCGAAGGCGGCCUUCUGGACUGACACUGACGCUGAGGUGCAAAAGCGUGGGUAGCAAACAGGAUUAGAUACCCGGGUAGUC